rnacentral:lncRNA from 1 species
CAGGGGGACAGAUUAUAAAUUUAGAAAGUAUAGUCAGAGAAGGAAGUCUUAUCAAUGUGAUAUUUGAGUGAGGACCCAAAGGAGGUAGCUGGAAUGUGGAUGCCAGUGGAGGAGAGGAGACGGUGGGUUUGAGAGACAUAGGAGACAGAAUCAACAGGACUCAGAGCCAAUCAGUAGGAUGACGGGAGUGAAGGAGAAAGCUGAGUCAAAAAGAUUUUGAUUAGAGGUGACACAGGGCCACUGUAGACCCCUGCGCAGGCGGCACACCACGCAGCCUGCCGAAGUGUACGUGGUGGCCCUGGGUGUCUGGAGAUGGUGAUGCUGUUCAGCAGGACCCAAACCAUAGCCGAGCCCUUCCUUUUCCUCCAUUGGUGUCAUCUGGUAGUUUGUCUUCCCGGGUAAGAAGGUUGUAAAUUUCUUAAGAUGAUGAUUGUGUCAUCCCUGAUAGCCCCAGAUUAGCCAAGCCAAGUGCUGAGCACAUUCCUGGUGCUCAGUAAAUGUCACUGUUAAAGGGGGCUUCCCAGAGCCACACAACACCCAG